rnacentral:rRNA from 1 species
GACGAACCGUGCGAACGUUAUUCGGAAUCACUGGGCUUAAAGCGCGUGUAGGCGGGACGGCACGUCGGUCGCUGAAAUCCCCCGGCUCAACCGGGGAACGGGCACCGAUACGACCGUCCUGGAGGAACGUAGGGGGACCUGGAACUUCCGGUGGAGCGGUGAAAUGCGUUGAGAUCGGAAGGAACGCCCGUGGCGAAAGCGAGGUCCUGGACGUUUUCUGACGCUGAGACGCGAAAGCCAGGGAGCGAACGGG